AAUUCUUGGUUCAUUUAGGGGGAAGUAAAAAGUCCGUAACAAGGUUUUCCGUAGGUGAAACCUGCGGAAGGAUCAUUACUGAAUUGUCAACAAGAGUUGUUGCUGGUCCUCCACGGGGGGACAUGUGCACGCUCUGUUCACACAUCCACUCACACCCUGUGCACUCUCUGUAGUUCUGUGGUUGGGGGGCCUGUCCUCCUGCUGUGGUUCUGCAUCUUUACACACACACACUGUAACAAAGUCUCAUGGAAUGCAUAUGCCGCGUUUAACGCAAUACAAUACAACUUUCAGCAACGGAUCUCUUGGCUCUCGCAUCGAUGAAGAACGCAGCGAAAUGCGAUAAGUAAUGUGAAUUGCAGAAUUCAGUGAAUCAUSGAAUCUUUGAACGCACCUUGCGCCCUUUGGACAUUCCGAAGGGCAUGCCUGUUUGAGUAUCAUGAACACCCUCAACUCCUCAUGGUUUUCCAUGAUGAGCUUGGACUUUGGGGGUCUUGCUGGCCUAURGUCAGCUCCUCUAAAAUGAAUCAGCUUGUCAGUGUUUGGUGGGCAUCACAGGUGUGAUAAAUAUCUACGCUCGUGGUUUUCCACCAGGUAACCUUCAGCAGUGGAGGUUCACUGGAGCUCACAGAUGUCUCUCCUCGGUGAGGACGGCUCUUUGAAUGUUUGAUCUCAAAUCAGGUAGGACUWCCCGCUGAACUUAAGCAUAUCAAUAAGCGGAGG
rnacentral:rRNA from 1 species